GCGCUGCUCAGCCUGCUGGGCUGGAGUUCUAUUCACAUCAUUUCUUUCGCCGUUGAAGUUCCCUGUGCUGUGAGGGAAAUGGUAAGAAGCCUGCCACACCAAUUUGGACUGGCCUAGUCCUCCGAGCUGUUUAUUUCCCCAUCCCAGUGAACUGGUAACUCAAGUUGGAAACUGUGUCUCAUUCACAAUUACAGAUGACUUAAUAAUAACAACACGUAAAUCCCUAGAAAUAAGACUUCGAAGGAGGAUCAUCACUAUUAUUUACUCUACGCCUGCCCAAGACCUCCCUCAGUUCCUUGUCUGCAGGCCUAAACAUCUGAGCAGAGAAAAUAAAAGCAAAGAGUUCCCUAAAAUGCCACCAUACAGAAGGUUCAGAGAGGCCCCUGCAAUCAAGCACAUCCCUGGCACCUCUUCAGUGGAAGCUCCUCUGACACCCAUCAAGUUGGUCGUCAUUAAUGCCUUAUUCCCAUCUUCAUUGGCUCCCUGGCUGCACCCUUUGGCUUUAAACUCUCCUAAAGAUGGCUGUCCUGUUAUGAAGGCUGCUUGCUAACUGUUUAAAGUCUGCUCGGAUCUUCUAUUAUGGGCAUUCUGUCUUGUCAGCUCAUCUGACGUCAACCAGCAUGAACCACGUUAAUAGCUUGCAUUGCCUCUUGAUCACAUAAGCCCCUCGAACUUUUAUCUGUAUAUUGUCCUAGAGAACAUGAGGCACGGAUCCUCUCUUUUCUUUAUCUCCGUGCACAGUUUCCUGAUAGAGAGAAGCAGAGAGCUCAGUGGGUACAGCUCUGGGGAUGUAGCUGAAUUGUUGAUUUGGAUGAAACUUGAAC
rnacentral:lncRNA from 1 species